rnacentral:rRNA from 1 species
CCUGAGAAACCCGAAAGAUCGAAAGGGGAGAUUCACCGUCAGCGACGUCGGCUUUUCGGCGGUUCGCGAUGCGCGCGCUUGCGAGGCGGCCGGUGUCCGGUCGUCCGCGUCGUCGCACGCGUCCGCCGUGUUUCCCAUGUCCGGCGGCGUCGGCGUGCACUUCUCCCCUAGUAGGACGUCGCGACCCGCUGGGUGUCGGUCUACGGCCCGGGCUGUCGCCUGUUCCGGUCGCUUCGGCGUCGCGGAGCAGACACCCGGUGUUGCCCGACCGGCUGCCCGGCGGUACUCGCACGGUAUCUGGCCGCAAUCGAACUGCGUCACGCAGGCCCGCCGCAAGCGCGGUCAGUGUUUACCCGGAGGCGCGGACCUAGCGCCGUCCCCGGGCCUGGCCCGCUGUUAGCAGGCGGAGUCCUCUGACAGGCCGUCUGGCGCGCGUGUCUUCGGGCACGCGCGUGCGUGAUACCGGUCGGCGACGCUACUGCUUUGGGUACUUUCAGG